rnacentral:rRNA from 1 species
UACAGAGGUGGCAAGCGUUGUUCGGAAUUACUGGGCGUAAAGGGCGCGUAGGCGGCUCUCUAAGUCAGACGUGAAAUCCCCCGGCUUAACCUGGGAACUGCGUCUGAUACUGGGGGGCUUGAGUUUGGGAGAGGGAUGUAGAAUUCCAGGUGUAGCGGUGAAAUGCGUAGAUAUCUGGAGGAAUACCGGUGGCGAAGGCGGCAUCCUGGACCAAUACUGACGCUGAGGCGCGAAAGCUAGGGGAGCAAACGGG